UGUCACUGUCACUUGGGUGAUGCCAUUCCCUCGUGCUCUGACCACCGUGUGGGGGCAGGCACAGGCAGCCCCGUGUUAUCACCGUGCUGUCACUAAUCCUCUGUCACUCCCCCAGGCCUGCCUACAAUCGGACCGGUAACUCCGGAGCCCUCCAGCGCUGUCACCAUCAUCUGCCACGGGGACGCGGUGGUGUACUCUGUGCUACCGCUGGAGGGGACCGUGUGUGACAUCAGCGCGGAACAGCCGUGAUGCGGUGUCAUCGUCAUUGGGUGUUGCUUCUGUCAACCGGCAUCGGGUGUCACCGUCACGUGGAGGGGACAGAAGGACCCCCUGGGGCCCUGGGGACGUUGCGCCGAAGUUGGGGACACCGUGACAAGCUCAAAGACUUCCCAGGGAAAGUGGGGACGCUGUGUCAUGGUGUCACACCCCCGAAGUUAGGGCAUCCCUUUGGGAGCACCCCCGUGUCACCCCCGCAGUGUCACACCCUAGACACCCCGUAUCCCAUUCCUAUCCUACCCCAUAUACCAUAACCGCAGCCCUUCCCAUAUCCAUAUCCCCGUAUCCGUUCCACAUCUUUAUCCCAUUCCAGUAUCAUCCCAAACCCAUCUCAUAUCCAUAUCCCAUAUCCAUUCAAAUCCAUACCCUCACAUCCCAUAUGCCAGCCCAUCCCAUAUCAAUAGCCGUGUCCCAUCCCAGAUCCAUCAUCCAUCCCAUGUCCAUUCCAUGGACUUAUGCUGUAUCCAGAGCCCAUCCCAUACGUAUCCCCUUUCCCGAUAUCCCAUCCCGUAUCCAUAUCCCAUAUCCUCACACCCUCCAUCCCAAUCCCAACCCCGCAUGCCACCUGACAAUCCCAGUCCCAAUCCCACAUCCCAACCUCAAUUAGCAAGAGGGUGAACCCAAGGCCAAAGGCUGCCCCAUAGGCUGCAG
rnacentral:lncRNA from 1 species